rnacentral:rRNA from 1 species
UACGUAGGGUGCAAGCGUUUAAUCGGAAUUACUGGGCGUAAAGCGUGCGCAGGCGGUUAUGUAAGACAGAUGUGAAAUGCCCGGGCUUAACCUGGGAACUGCAUUUGUGACUGCAUGGCUAGAGUUUGGCAGAGGGGGGUAGAAUUCCACGUGUAGCAGUGAAAUGCGUAGAUAUGUGGAGGAAUACCGAUGGCGAAGGCAGCCUCCUGGGCCAACACUGACGCUCAUGCACGAAAGCGUGGGGAGCAAACAGG